rnacentral:rRNA from 1 species
UACGUAGGGUGCGAGCGUUGUCCGGAAUUACUGGGCGUAAAGAGCUCGUAGGUGGUUUGUCGCGUUGUUCGUGAAAACCGGGGGCUUAACCCUCGGCGUGCGGGCGAUACGGGCAGACUUGAGUACUGCAGGGGAGACUGGAAUUCCUGGUGUAGCGGUGGAAUGCGUAGAGAUCGGGAAGAACAUCAGUGGCGAAGGCGGCCUGCUGGGCUGUUGCUGACGCUGAGGCGCGACAGCGUGGGGAGCAAACAGG